CCUACGGGAGGCUGCAGUGGGGGAUAUUGCACAAUGGGGGAAACCCUGAUGCAGCGACGCCGCGUGGGUGAAGAAGCGCCUCGGCGCGUAAAGCCCUGUCAGCAGGGAAGAAAAUGACGGUACCUGAAGAAGAAGCCCCGGCUAACUACGUGCCAGCAGGCGCGGUAAUACGUAGGGGGCAAGCGUUUUCCGGAUUUACUGGGGGUAAAGGGGGCGGAGACGGCGAUGCAAGCCAGGAGUGAAAGCCCGGGGCCCAACCCCGGGACUGCUCUUGGAACUGCGUGGCUAGAGUGCAGGAGGGGCAGGCGGAAUUCCUGGGGUAGCGGUGAAAUGCGUAGAUAUCAGGAGGAACACCGGUGGCGAAGGCGGCCUGCUGGACUGCAACUGACGUUGAGGCCCGAAAGCGUGGGGAGCAAACAGGAUUAGAUACCCCAGUAGUC
rnacentral:rRNA from 1 species